rnacentral:lncRNA from 1 species
UUUUGUCUUCCUUUAGCUUUUUUUUUUACUUUGCUUUACCAUUUUUGCUUUCCUUUAGUCUUCCUUUAGCUUUUCUUCAAUAUAACACCAUUUUCUGUGGCUCAGAUCGCAAAACCAUCUUCAUGAAAGUUGUUCCUUAGCUCGUGAACUACAACAUAUCCGAAUUGGAGAUCCAUCGGAGCAGUACAACUCCAGAAAUUCAGGUAUGAUGAGUGAUUGUUCGUCAUUUGUAUAUCAACGCGUCAGACUUGUUGUGAGCUUCAAAAACUCCAUUUUCUCUUGCUCAGAUCAACAUACUUUCUUCAUCGAAGUUGUUCCUUAACUUGUGAACUACAACAUAUCCAAAUUUGAGGUCCCUCGGAGCAGUAUAACUCCAGAAAUCCAGGUAUGAUGAGUGACUGUUCGUCAUUUGUAUAUCAACGCGUCAGACUUGUUGUGAGCUUCAAAAACUCCAUUUUCUCUUGCUCAGAUCAACAUACUUUCUUCAUCGAAGUUGUUCCUUAACUUGUGAACUACAACAUAUCCAAAUUUGAGAUCCCUCGGAGCAGUAUAACUCCAGAAAUCCAGGUAUGAUGAAUGACUGGUUAUUAUUUUUCUGUCAACCCGUCAGAUUUGUUGUGAGCUUUGAAACUCCAUUUUCUCUUGUUCAGAUCGGUAUGCUUUCUUCAUUGAAGUUGUUCCUCAUCGUCUCUUUCAUAACAUAUCAAAAAUUCAGAAUGAAUUAAUGGUUAAAUAUUUCCAG